GAUGAACGCUAGCGGCAUGCUUAAUACAUGCAAGUCGUGGGGCAGCAUGAAGUAGCAAUACUUUGAUGGCGACCGGCAAACGGGUGCGGAACACGUACACAACCUUCCUUUUAGUGGGGAAUAGCCCAGAGAAAUUUGGAUUAAUACCCCGUAACAUAGCGAUGUGGCAUCACAUUGCUAUUAUAGCUUCGUCUCUAGCUGAUGGGUGUGCGUAUGAUUAGAUAGUUGGUGAGGUAACGGCUCACCAAGUCGACGAUCAUUAGCUGAUGUGAGAGCAUGAUCAGCCACACGGGCACUGAGACACGGGCCCGACUCCUACGGGAGGCAGCAGUAAGGAAUAUUGGUCAAUGGACGAAAGUCUGAACCAGCCAUGCCGCGUGAAGGAUUAAGGUCCUCUGGAUUGUAAACUUCUUUUAUAUGGGACGAAAAAAGGUCUUUCUAGGUCACUUGACGGUACCGUAAGAAUAAGCACCGGCUAACUACGUGCCAGCAGCCGCAGUAACAC
rnacentral:rRNA from 1 species